AGGAACCUCCUAAGAUGCAUUAUGUGCCCUUCUCUAACACAACAAUCCCCAAGUGGGUAUCAAUUUUCCCUCCUUUUUGGAUGAAGAAAUGGGCUCAGAGGCAACUGCCUGGAGAGACAUGGAGCAUGAACUGGAUUCGGGGUCCACAGAGCUUGGCCUUUCCACUGCACCAGGCUGCCUCCCAGCAUCUUCCAGCUUCUCCAAGACUUACUCUCCGGUUUGCAUUGCCUCAAAACAGCAAACUUGUCAUUAGAAGCAUGGAGCAAUGAUAGAAUUAGUUUACUGAGAAGGAAGCUGGUGUUUGCUUCCUGUGGUGCCUCAACUGGUGAGUGGUCAGGCCCUGGUGUGACAGCCUCCCUUCCUCCUCCUGCUGGUCAUGUGGUGAAAGGCAGGCCACUGCUGCCUUUCUGUGCACUCGACUCCAGUUUAAAGGACUCUUCUUCCCAUUGUGGGGCUGCAUGGGGAACACUGGGGUCCAGGGCCUGGGACCUGUUGGGGGCCAAGUCACCAGGACACUCUGGUUCUUGUACUGGUUCUGUCACUGCCUCAGAAGCACCCUGGCCACACACCUCCUUUGAGGCUUCAUUUUCAUCACCUAUAAAAUAGCAAAGUGAACUCAGUGAUCUCUCAAGCUAUCUUCAAGCUUCAAACUUGAACCUUGAACCUCUGUGCAUGUGUUGGCAGAUCUGAAACAGCUUAGGUACAUGGAGAAAACAACCCUUUUUGAGAGCUUUUAUACCCAAGGUGAUGUGCUGAGCUCUCAUCAUACAGUAUUUCAGUUAAGCCCCAUAACCCAAGGUGCAGUAGUAUUCCCCACUCUCUGAACCACUCCAGAAGAGAAAACUGAAGGCUGCAGAGCUUAAAACACUUACUUAAGGACUCAGCUGGGAAGUGGCAGCAUUAAGCCAAAGUCCCCUCUCAACCACAUGCCAUGUCCUGAGCCCCUCUGGCAGCACAGAGAUGCACCUAAUCCAGUCUGGGGCAGGUGAUGCAGAGGGAGCAGGAUGAGAUUCUGAGCUGAGUUCAGAGAGAGUCGUCAAAGUAACCAAGGGAGAUGAGUAUCCAAGGUGGAAGGCCCAGCCUGGACAAGACGCAGAAGCACCAAGAACAUGACCAGCUCUGGUCCGCGGCCCCCGAGUCCCCUCCAGCCUGACAUUCCUUCAUUCAGAACCACUCUUGUGUUUGGGGAAGCAGGCUGCUUUGUACUAGAAUUCCGAUCUGGUCUGUACACUGGCUGUCUUUUGUGGCAUUUAGCAAACCCGGGUCCCAGAACCUCAUGCCGUUUCUUUAUGCAGCUAGGUGGAGGUGAACCUGGCUCGUUAUGAGACCUAAUUGAUGUUGGGGAGGUUCAUAGAGUGCUUGGUGAAAGGUGCCCUGUAAAUCUGAGACACUGAAGACUUGUGCCACAUUCAUCAUAGUGUUUAAUGUCCUGAUUGAUCUCCAGGGUAAUCAAUUUCAUUUGCUUGUUUCAGGAUGAAUAAGCAGGUUGCUCCCCUAUGCUGUAGGCUAGGGCCCUGCAUAAAAUUAUGCCAGUGCUGUGCCUCUGGUACCUUGAUAGAUGAGGAGCCGGCACCCGAGAGGAGCACGGGGGGGUCCAGAACGGAAGCCUCGGUCAGCAGCUGUCUUGGAGCGAGACAGGAGCUCCUGAGCUGAGGGUCAUGGGUGGAAUGGACAUGUCACCCUGAAGAGCAUUCCAGGCCACCUGCCUCUGAUCGUGCAGCGUCUGCGAAAAGCCCCCCAGUCUGCGUGACUUGAUCUGAAAAGCCAAGGUCUGGGGAACAGCGGCUGUUACCCAGACCCACAGUGAGCUCUCAAAGGGUGGGCGAGCAAGGGGAAGCCCUUUCCCAGAGCUGCAGACCUCCCAGGGAGCGCGUGGGCUCCAUCUCCGCAGAUCCGCAGCUGCCCACCAGCCGUGACUCUGGGCUGUGGCACCCGGGGGAGCCGUGAAAGCCAAAGCUUUUACACUCCACCUCCCGCACUCCAGACCUGGAGGCCCCGCCCCACGCCCAUCCCCAGGCAGCAUUUCUGACACUGGCGGCCUGUUGAUGCUUGAAGGCCGCAGCGAUCGCUCAGGCAGACUUUGACCUCACAGCGUUUGGUAAAUACCCUGCGAUGACCGGUCUUAAAAGCGGUGCUCUUCUGUGGUCUUUCUAGCUGGGAAAACCGAGGAGGCGAGCAGGAGUGACUUGCCUGGCAGCUUGUCUCAUCACGCUCCUGCCUGCCCUGUGCUUUGCUCUGGGGUAGAGGUCCGCAGCAGAGGCAAGUACUGGCCAGCAGCCGGGGCUCACCCCUGGUACCGGGCAGGCAGGCCCAUCUCCCUGUUGGGGUGGCCAGCACCAGCCCAAGAGCUGGGGUGAUGGGAGCUCAGCAAAGGGGGUGUCGGAGGUCAGCAAGCUGGGCCUGGCCAAGGAUGGUAGUUGCUUGUCGUCCAGCAGAUGUAGACCCCUAGUUAGGGCCCCCCUGGUUCCUGCCUUACAGAUUAUAAAUCACGUGAUGCCCUGCAGCCCAUCACGUGCCGAAAGCUGAGCAUGACGGCUUGGUUGGGUGCUGCUGACUUCUCUGCUUCCAAAAGCUCUGACCUGGCAGCCCCAGCACGCACCACACUGCCAGGGGGGUCUGGGCUCCAGUGUUAGUGCCUCUCUUCUUAGUGUUUGACCUCACGAAAGAUUCUCCAAACUUUCUGAGCCUCAGGUUCUUCAUCUGUAAAAUGGGGCUAUGAUACCCACCUCACAGGGUCGUCUGAAGAUAAAAGGAGCCCACGUGUAUGGGAGCCUUUGCAGAGCACCUGGUAAUGGACGCUGCAGUUACACUGCUGGUGACCCACAGUGCCUCAGACACGCCCCAGAAACGGCUUGGCUGGGUGCUGCUGCCUUUAACGCCUGUUUUGACAAACGCUAACCUAUCUCCCCGUGAAUCAGGAGGGUGCUGCCUGCCUGCAUGUGGUGAUUUCCCUCCCUUUCUUCCAGUUCAGCCAUCUUUCCUGAGUGGCUCUGGGCCAAAGCCUGUGGCUUCAUGCAGGGUUCUGGGGCUCUAACAGGACUCAGGCCUGGUCCCCGUGCUCGAGCAGGGGAGGCAAGCAGGGAGGCAGGUGCUGACAAGCCACGGCUCUGCCCGGACAGAAAAAACCGUGGUCACAAACACAAAAUCUCUUGGAGGCUAAUCAGACAGGCUCAGCAGCCUGGAAGGACACCCCGGGAAAGGGCAGAACCAGAGGCUCGAUCUGGGCGCCUAGGAGGAAGAGCGGGCUUCAAGCGGGGUACCACACUUCACUUCGAACCUGCGGAAUCUGAGGCCCCCAAGAGAUGGGGCCCUGGGUCGGGGAGCUGUCAGCAAGGCAGGCAGAAUUCUGAGCUCCACUUUGGUGGGGGAUGAGGGAAGGGAAGGGGUUGGUCCAGAGUCACACGGUGGGGCAGCCUCUCACCUGGGGCCCGGGGCUCGU